rnacentral:rRNA from 1 species
UCCGUACGGCGUCACGGACGACGCUGGCGGCGUGCUUAACACAUGGCAAGUCGACGGAAAGGCCCUGCUUUUGUGGGGUGCGUCGAGUGGCGAACGGGUGAGUAACACGUGAGUAACCUGCCCUUGACUUUGGGAUAACUUCAGGAAACUGGGGCGUAAUACCGGAUAGGAGCUCCUGCUGCAUGGUGGGGGUUGGAAAGUUUCGGCGGUUGGGGAUGGACUCGCGGCUUAUCAGCUUGUUGGUGGGGUAGUGGCUUACCAAGGCUUUGACGGGUAGCCGGCCUGAGAGGGCGACCGGCCACAUUGGGACUGAGAUACGGCCCAGACUCCUACGGGAGGCAGCAGUGGGGAAUAUUGCACAAUGGGCGGAAGCCUGAUGCAGCAACGCCGCGUGCGGGAUGACGGCCUUCGGGUUGUAAGCCGCUUUCGCCUGUGACGAAGCGUGAGUGACGGUAAUGGGUAAAGAAGCACCGGCUAACUACGUG